UACGUAGGGUGCGAGCGUUAAUCGGAAUUACUGGGCGUAACGCGUGCGCAGGCGGUUUUUUAAGUCAGAUGUGCAAUCCCCGGGCUUAACCUGGGAACUUCGUUUGAAACUACAAGGCUAGAGUGUGGCAGAGGGGGGUGGAAUUCCACGUGUAGAAGUGAAAUGCGUAGAGAUGUGGAGGAACACCGAUGGCGAAGGCAGCCCCCUGGGUUAACACUGACGCUCAGGCACGAAAGCGUGGGGAGCAAACAGG
rnacentral:rRNA from 1 species